rnacentral:snoRNA from 1 species
AGCACUAUAUUUAAACCUGUGGAUGGGAAUUUUCCCCAUUCUUGGUUACGCUGUAGUGCAAAAGAAUUCCUGGCUCUUUCUGUUGCACAGCUGACUUUGUGCCGUUCUGCUGUUGCUGGAUAAGGUUAAGGAACAUAA